AAUUGCUUGAACCAGGGAGGCAGAGGUUGCAGUGAGCCAAGACUGUGCCAUUGCACUCCAGCCUGGGUGACAAGAGCAAAACUCCAUCUCAAAAAAAAAUGGCCUUCUGUAUAACAUUUCAUAUGAGCUCAUAUUAAUUUUUGCUCUAGGAGAAUUAAGGGUUCUUAAGAGGGCUACAGGCAAUAAGCUGACCCAAAUUUCUGAUGUUUUCUAACAUAGCUUAGCUAACACCC
rnacentral:lncRNA from 1 species